rnacentral:rRNA from 1 species
ACUAAUACUGCGAAAGCAUUCGCCAAGGAUGUUUUCAUUAAUCAGGGAACGAAAGUUAGGGGAUCGAAGACGAUCAGAUACCGUCGUAGUCUUAACCAUAAACUAUGCCGACUAGGGAUCGGACGGUGUUUCUAUUAUGACCCGUUCGGCACCUUACGAGAAAUCAAAGUUUUUGGGUUCUGGGGGGAGUAUGGUCGCAAGGCUGAAACUUAAAGGAAUUGACGSAAGAAUCACUAGUGAAUUCGCGGCCGCCUGCAGGUCGACCAUAUGGGAGAGCUCCCAACGCGUUGGAUGCAUAGCUUGAGUAU